CCUACGGGCGGCAGCAGUGAGGAAUUUUGGUCAAUGGACGCAAGUCUGAACCAGCCAUGCCGCGUGCAGGAAGACGGCCCUAUGAGUUGUAAACUGCUUUUGUACGAGGGUAAACGCAGAUACGCGUAUCUGUCUGUAAGUCUCGAACGAAUAAGGAUCGGCUAACUACGUGCCAGCAGCCGCGGUAAUACGGAGGAUUCAAGCGUUAUCCGGAUUUAUUGGGUUUAAAGGGUGCGUAGGCGGUCGGAUAAGUUAGAGGUGAAUUCCCGAGGCUCAACUUCGGUAUUGCCUCUGAUACUGUUCGGCUAGAGAGUAGUUGCGGUAGGCGGAAUGUAUGGUGUAGCGGUGAAAUGCUUAGAGAUCAUACAGAACACCGAUUGCGAAGGCAGCUUACCAAGCUACUUCUGACGUUGAGGCACGAAAGCGUGGGGAGCAAACAGGAUUAGAUACCCGGGUAGUC
rnacentral:rRNA from 1 species